rnacentral:lncRNA from 1 species
UGAAAAUAUUGAUGCAGGAUAUUUUCUUGACCCCUUUGCAGGUCUUGCAACAGGGGUGCCCAUUUUACUUAGCCUGCCCCGCUCAACCCUUCAUGGGAGGGAGCACGCGAGCAAACAAGUGCAGGCACUGGAGCAAGUAUGAAGUAAGACACCUGUCACAUGAAGAUCUUUAGGGGAAACAAGGAGAGGGAAGGUCAGAGAGGUGACCUUUCCAGGUUUUGUGGGCUGGUUCCUGGGAGAAGAAGCAAGAGGAAUUCUAGUUUCUGUGGCCUACAUCGGGAGAGACAGGGGAGAGGGAAUUUCAGUUUCUAUGGCCCACUUCAGGAGAGAGUGGGCUGGAGAGGGUCUGGGAGACCGUCCUGCUUCCACAGUUUUCUCAUUUCCUUCAGCUUAAAAUACUCACUGUGCCAAGAUGCCAUAUUUUAGGGUAGUGUUUCCUGCAUUCCAUCAUAAGUAUCAGGCCUGGUCCAGAGCUGUGGUGUCCUAGCUCUUCACUGGGAUUGGCCCCUUGAGUGUGGCUUCUCACACAUGCUGUCACUGAACAUCAGGGUUCUCCUGUGGGUCACCAGUUGUUUUGUGCAUUAACAAUAUGUCAUUAGCAGAGGCCUAAAGGAGCACUCUGAGCCUACCUCCUGAUGGUGUCUGCCACUCAGAAAAUAUUGAUUUUUAACCUUUACUCUGGUACUUUUAUAGAGAAGAGCCUCCACAGAAAACUCCUCAUUUAUGUUUUACUUCUGCUACUUCCAUUGUAGUGUUUUCUUUGACUUGUUUAAUGACUCAUUGAUUUCGUUGUCUUACUUUAAAAUUCUCCAUCUCAAAUUUUGGUAGUGAGUCAUUUUACUCAAAAUGCCUGUGCUUCCUUGUUCUUAAGAAAUAGUAUUGAUACAUAACAACGAAGCAUAUUAUUUUUCACUUUCAUUAUAUCUGACUAAGAACCACUAGACUGGAAUGACAUUACCCUUGAAAACAGAAUGAAAACAGUCCUCUUAAUUACCCUAGUUUGCGUAUGUUUAGAGGCUAUGGUAAGGCAUGCUUAUAAUCUCCAAAGGGAUUUAAGAUGCAUUCAAAGGUAAAUGGUAAUGCAUGGUCAUGUUACUAUACCUUAAAAACCCAACAGUGCCUCAGUCCUGGUAGCUACUCAAGAAAUGCUUUUUUUUUUUUGUACUAAAUUGAAUUGAAUAAAAACAUUAAUGGUUCC